GUAGCUCAAGUGGUAGAGCAUUUGCCUUGCAUGCAGAAGAUCCCAGGUAUGAUCCCUAGCAUCUCCA